CAAGUGGCCCGCGGUGGAGGGAUGGCUGUCUGUAACUCAUUACCAGCAAGUUCUGCUUGAACUUUUUUAUCUUAAAAAGGAGAACCUGGUGCUGAUCGGAAGCCCGGGGCGGAGCUCCGAGCCCCAGUGUCACAACACAAAGGCUACCCCAAGGUGCUCGCCCAAGGCUGGGUCCAGGAGCCCUGCUGUGGAGCUGCUGCUUCUGUCUUGGCUCUGGAGGCGGCUCCGUGCCUCCUCUGUGUGUUUGUCUUCUCCUGGAUCGUACUUUUUUUAUUCCACUCCUCUUCUUUUCACCUUGAAUAUGAACUUUCCUCACACAAGACCGACCCACAGCAAAUUUUUCAAGUUAUUGAACAGAUUUUUUUUCCAAUGGAGGAUUAAGAAUGAGUUUUUCUGACAUGUCUUUCCUAACGGUACCCUUUAAGCUUCUUGCCCCAGGCAGUUCAUUUGCCUACAGAGAAGAUUAGCGAUGCUGUAGAAGGACACAAAUAAAACCUUCCAGCCAUGCACAGCAGGAUGGAGGGUGCAGGCCUGACAUCCCAGGACCUCUGACUCAGAGAUGGGAGGAACCAGAGUGGGGGAUCCUCAGGUACACACAGGCCAGCAGAGCAAAGCUGUAAGGAGGGGACCGGCGUUCCGCUCCUGGGACAAGGAUGGCAGCAGGUUUUCACUGAUUUGCUGGGUGGGUGGUGUCUGGUAAUCCCACUGGCCGGAGGUGCAUGUCCACAUGCUUCUUGCGAUGGGUUUAGACCACUGCCUGGUCAUGGCCGGCCCAGUUUGGAGGCUGCUGGAUUUCAAUGGGUCUGGUGCCUUCCUUUAUCUUGUGCAAAGCAUCCCGGCCUUGUGAGUCUGGGCCCUGGGUUAGACAGGCCCAAGGCUGCAGGUGCUUGGGUUUCAGGGGCCUCUGAUGGAGGAAAAGGGUGAGGCAGAAAAGAGGGACAGAAGAAGAAGCACACAGCUCCGAUGGGCAAGAGGCCAGUUAGCCCUGGGUUACAGCCUUGGGCCACUUUUCAGGGACCCACCUGUCUAGCGCAGAGCUGAGUGGACGGCUGACCCAGAGUUAAGACAGCAAAUGGCACAAACACAAUGUGAAGACAGAGAUGCCACGCUUUUAUCCUACUUCAGUCACCUAGAAGACUUUUGUAGGCUCAAGCAAAGGGCCAGGGCUUCCAGCAAAGGGGCCUUCAGGUCCCCAGGAAGUAAGCAGGGAACUCAUCAAGACCCCGUAUCCAAGUUGCCAUGGACAACAAGCCUAGUGGGGCACAAAUAAGGUACUGCUGAGCUGUGUGACAGCCAGUUAGCGGUUUUUAAGCAGACCUCGAGCAAGUGAGGCUGGAGGCAUUACGCAGGCCAGGGGUGGCCAACGCACAGCGCGCUGCUGCAGCCGGCUAUUCAUUAUCCCUGAAAGCUCAAAAAGGGUCCCUUCGUGGAUCGCCUUUCCUUGUGAAUCCCUUCUCGUUUCAUGCCAGCAUUACGCUCUGUGGCUUUAAUCAGGACCUCAUGACCACUCUGUUGGAACACGCCAUGCCCAAAGGUUUAUUCUGCCCUCCCCAUCUGUGUCCCACUGCGGUGGUCCGUGUCUCCGGCCCAGCCGCUUUGUGGAUAAUGCAUGCCCUUUGCCUUCUCUUUUGGUGGCUGCUACCCAAGCCCAGGGAUGCAUCCCCAGGUCUCCUGCCAUGCAGUGUCUUCUGCGCCGGACAGCACAGAGUAAGGGAAUGGCAGGUGUGGUCAUCACUCGUGGGACACUGCCCACCUGAGUGGAUUAAGAGGCACCUAGCAGAUUGGCAAAGCAAGCUCUGGGCGUGUCUGUGGAUGAUUGACAUGUAGGCCAGCAAACUAGGGGGGAAGACCUACGCCGGAUGUAGGGCUACUAACCAAUAGGCUCGAAGCCUGGGUGGGAUGCAGAGGGAGAAGGAAGAAGCGUGCCUGAUUCGGAGCCCUCCAGACUCCUGAGCCGGUCUGUCCUUUGCCACCUGGUGACUGGACGCUGGCCUCAAGGGAUCCGGUGUCUUCAGUCUUCCAGGGCAGGCUCGAGCUGGUGACCUCCGGAGAGCUCCCAAGACCCCAGCGUUGGCCUGCGCGGGUCUUCACCCCUGUGGUCCCGCAGCUCUGGGUCCCUGGCUCCUGGGUGCACGGGCGACCACAGAAACCCAUCUGGCCGACCCCUCGCCUGGCUGCAGACUCCGGGUCGGUCCUGUUCUUCAGAGAAGCCCUACUACCUCAGUGCCCGCUUAAUAGAAAAACGCGGAGGGGCCGGGAAAGGAAGGGGCGAGGGAGGCAGCGCGGGACCCUGUGCCCAGAGAGGGGUGAAUUUGACCCUGACGACACUGAGCCUUCUGCACCUUUGGGCAGCAGCUUCCUCUGAGGUCCCCGCCCCGGCCUGGACGAGGCCUGCAAAGCGCACAGGCCGCGCCCGGGGCAGGAGAGUGGCCGGGCCUGGCUCCUCCUGUGCCUGGGUCUGGGUCCUGGGCCUGGAACCUGGGUCCUGGGUCCCUGGGAUGGACGCUUACAGCCUCCCUGCGCAGUGAGGGGACUGGGACUGGACGGGACUGGACCCCGGAGACGGUGCUGCUUGGGCCGCACAGGGGGAGGCAGCGGAACCCAGAGGGAGCGCAGGCCGGCGGGAGACUGGGUGUCCGGGAUGCGCGUUCUGCGCAGACAGCACAGCGAGAGGAGCUGUCCUCAGGGCCCGGCCGGCGGUCGCCGCCCACUUCCGGCUCCCAAGCAGCUGCCCUCUUCCGGGAGUAAGCAAGCGCGCCACGUCAGGUCGGAACACGCUCUGCACCAGACCGACGUGUAACUAGUGCUCCCCAGGCCUGGUCCCAGUGAACGAUUCACCAGAACAGUAAUCACAGAAAUAUGUGAACUUGCCGAAGGAAAUGUAGGAGCUGCAGGACAAAUGUUUGCCCCUUUAGGGUGAGAUGCUCUGUGCUGCAGUUUGGGCAUCAGCCCCAAACACUUCGGAGCCAAGGGCGACUGUCCUCCGGGAGGAAAAGGAAAAGAACUGAGCGGGAUUUCCAGGAGCGCCCUGAGUCUGAUGGGUGAAGACAGUGCCACCGGGAGCUCUGUAGAAUACACCAGGAAACUAACAAUUUACAAAAGUAAAGAAGUGCUUCUCGCCUUUAUUUUUCAGGGAUUAAUCCUGGGUAGUUGUAGUUUAUUUUCUUCUCUUACGGGUUUUUCAUGAAUGCGUUUUUCUAGUUUGCAUGUAACAACAGUUCAUUUUUACUAGAUGUUUUUAGUUAUUUAGAAUGUUCUUUCGUUUCCUUAAUAAACACAGAUGAGUAAAGAAAGUAUUCCAGAACCAAACGUUUGUGGGAUAUGAAAUAAAUAGAAGUCUUUAUCUGUUCCUGGGAUUUCAAAUUGAUUCAUCAAGUUGGUCCGUUAUUUGACAUUAAUCUGAGAUUACAGUUGUGUGUAUUCUAUAACCUGGCAUUUCCAGUCAAAUAUAUAUUUAGUGAAAUACCCAUUACAGGUGUGCAUAAGAUAGCACACACUUGACUGUUCGGAAGCGUGGUUUACAGUAUAAAAGGAAAAUGAAAGCAAACAAUCUACAUAUUGAAGAAUUAGGUAACUCAUAUCUUAAAAACAAUGUUGCCUAAUAUGAUAAUGGAAAUGGCUAUAGUACUUGUAUCAUUUAAAAAUAAAUCUAGGUGAAUGAUACACAAAUUAAGGAUUGAAUAUUUAGUAAAAGAUGAAAAAAACCCAGCUUAUUUGUCACAGCUGAGCAAAAGAAGAGGGCUGCAAUUUCAGAGAAUUCAGGAGACUUCCAAAGAGGCGCUAAUUUAAUUUCUUAGACUCAGUAGUAUGUAUAAAUAUAUUAUUUUAUACAUUUUAAACUAUGUGCAUAUGUUUACAGGUCAUAUACAUUUGAUAUACAUAGUAUAUGCCGUUUUGUAAAUAUAUACUUUUAUAGCAUUUUAAAAAUAAAAUUAAAAAAAUAGGAGUUGCAUCAUUACAAAUUUCACUUCGAAUAUCAAUUCAGCCACCUUUGGGGUGUGUGAAUUUGAGCAGUUAUUAACCAUCAUGAGCCUCUGCUUCCAAAUUUCUAAGUAAUAAAUGCUUAAUUUAAAAAGUAAAACAUUAAUGAAACAAUCGUACCCACUAGAUAAAUACUCAUUUUCCCUCCACUCUCAGUCAGCCAGUAACUCCUGGGGGUGGGUUCUGUGAGUGAGAUAUAGUCAGUUGAACAAUUGGACAUUUUUCUUUUCUAAUAUUCCCAUUUCCUUAACAAUUGUUAACAGGAAAGUGGUCAGGCUUGGCAGUGGGGCAGUGGAAUUGCUGAAGAGUUUGCUUCCGCCAGCCACAGAUGGGCUGGAUGUGGGAGAGAGCACUGCAGUCUCCCCAGACAUCAAAUCUUUCUCCUCGAGACCUGCUCAUCAAAUAUUGUUCUCUUUGCAGUAAUUUAAGCUUUCUUGUUCUGGUUAUGGUGAGAGAAUUUAAUUUAGAUGGAAAUUUACUCUUUUGAGCAAUUGGCUUUCCACUCAUCCCUAUUAAGGCCUUAGACAAAGUCUUUUAGGUCCAACUUGCCCUGGGUAAUAUUUCCACCACUUACCUCAAGCAGUCUGUGCCUUCAAUGCUUCAGGUAAAAUGGGUUAAAUACACAGCCUUUGUCAAAGUGAAACUGAAAAUGAGAGUGUGUUCCCUUACAGGUUUUAAAGAUACCUCUUGGCAUACUUCAAGUGGGACAAACAGCUAAAACUGUCUAUGAUUCACUAGGUGUUAAAUUGACAUUUUUUUAUAAUAAAAUGAGCUUUCCCCAUAGUUUAUGUGGCUUAUUUUUUUUUCUUUUCUAUAGUACCUGACAUUAGAUAUUUCAUGACACAAAUAUUUGGACCUCUCUAGCUCUCUGUUUGUAAGUAAUGGCAGGUGAUGUUGUUUUGCUUUGAUCUUGUUAUUUUGCUAGUGGAGCCUGCAGCAGUGUUCAAAUGUGUCCUUGCCCAUUGUAAGAUGCCAUCCCAUUUACAAAUUUCAGAGUACUUCAUAGUCUGUGUGCUCCUUAUUUACCUUCAGAAGUUUAUGUUCUUCUAUAAUAUUGUCCUUUGUACUCGAAUGAUAGAGUCGUGCGUAUUUAUGUGUGUGCUUAGGCAGAACUAUCCUUUUCCAUGAUAUGAUAAGCAUAUCUUGCCUUAUAGACACAGCUUUAUUUACAAUUCUACAUUUCAGUGACCUUCAUUAAUGAAAGCAAAUGAUGAUAAAAUAAUCUAAGACCAACAGGCGAUUGGUUGUCAAUUCAUCACUAAGAAAGCAGGAAGACUGUUAGCCAACAUCAAGCAUUUAGUGGUAACAGAAGUAGGAUCUAAUUAUAUGAUCCCUGAACCUCUCACUUUUCACAGGGUCCUAUGAUCACUGAUAAAUCCUAAAUUGGUUUUGCAAUUUGCAAUAGUCUGUGUAAAACAUGUAAUGUUUGUUUGUCUUUCCUCCGUGAGUAAAUUAUUCUUCCUGUCAAGGAUCUUGGGCUGAAGCUAUCUAAGUGAACCUUCAUGGCACUGCAACUUCCAUCAGUAAGAAGCAUAUAAAUUCUACUCAGAAAACAUAAAAAUCCUCUGUAAUAAUUUUUGUAAACUUGUUUUGUGCUAGGACACCUAUUUUGGUGAAAAGCAUUAAUAUUGUUAUUUAAAGUCAGUUAAGUUUCAGUAAGAAAAAUAAUGAGUUAAGCUCUUCAGAAUUCCCAGACUGGGGAUUUUAUCAGUACUCAUGAUUGUAUGCUUAUAAAUACUGUGUAAUAGAACUAAAUACUAAAGGCAUUAUAUGAAAUAAUUGUAAUGUUGGUAAUGCUAGAACAAAAAUUAAAACCACCCUGUGUAUCAGAGAAUGUCAUCCCCUUGUCAAGUAAACUUUUUUCAUUUCAAAACUGAA